GACCCGCGCUUGUCACCCGACUGCGUGUUAAUCAGGGAACCAGGUCAUCACCCGGGGCACCCCACCGCGGUGGAGGGUUGCCGGCCAGCUAGCCGGGGCUCGUUGCUGGCACUCAUGACC
rnacentral:ncRNA from 1 species